GAAGAGAAGAAGGAUGGUGGUAGCGUUUUGUAUGUUUACGCCCACAACUACAAUCACUACAAUUGCAAGUGCUAAUUUGUUCUUCCAAUUGCAAGGGAUGGAUGGAUCUGCAAGAACAAGGGAGGUAGCGUGUGUAUGAAAUAAUUUCAAGAGUUUCAGAUCUAUAAGAGCAAUGAGUUUGACAGAGCAUUUAAUUGUCAGAAUCAUAACUGAUGUAAGGUUUUCAAAAGUUAGAUCUUUCUAUGAAUGCAAAAGACUUUGCACAGCACAAAUGCCGGUGCAAGUCAAUGAUCGUCGCCGUAGUCAAGGCUAUACUUCUAGAUUCCGUGACAGGAAGAAUCUCAGAGCGAGGGAGAGAGAGAGAGAGAGAGAACAAUGAUAAGAACAACCUUUUGUUCAAUGUCUAUAUCACCUUGCGGGAAUUCAUGGAAGAUUCAAGUUGAAAAAAAGGUAAAGUAGGAAAAAUCUCAGAACUCCACACUGAUGGAUUAACUUUUUGGAAACGUAGGGGUGGUGAAGUGGAAUCGGAGAGAGGAGAAGAAGGAACAGUCUCUGAUCAUGAAGUUCGUCUCUUCGCUUUCCCACGGUGCCACGCGAUGUGCUGGAAUAGUGGCAACGACCACUUUGAGUAGGGCAUCACCCAUGCCCGAACGCUUGCUGCUGUAUGAUUUGCUUCUCAACUUGGAAAUUCAGUUCUGGGUUCAAACGCGACAACCUUUUGCGGGCUUUGAUGAAUCGGUCUCUCAUAAGAAGAAUAGACAGUUAAAGUUGCAACACCGCGGAUCAAUACGUGUGGAAUUUUCUUCCGCAUUAUGUCGUCUUUGACUAUUCGCUGAAAUCGCGAGGAAUUUGGUGGUGACGCGUCGUCCUACGAAGACUAUACCGUAGAAUCAGGCUAUAAAAACCGCAAACGUGAGCAGCAAGGCAUCUCGCAGCGUAUUUCUCGAUUUUCUGGCAAGCUUCAAGCAAACAUCUUGAGCGAGCAACUAGUUUUCUCGAUCCAGUUUCCUUUCCUUGUAAGCAUGAAGAAGGCGACACUCUCAACUUGUGAAAGCUGCAAGGGGAAGACUGACGCGCUCAAGAAGAUCAAAGGUAUAGCACAAUCUUUGCAUUGGAUCGCGGCCCUGAUUCCAUGAAAUCUCUGGUGUGGUUUUCCCAACAGGGGUCGAUAAGGUGGAAUCGGAGUCGUCAGGCCUGGUGGUGAUUGGAAAAUUUGAUGUGGACGACGUGCUAAAGGCGAUGGAUUGCCACCACAGUGUCCUUCGUUCCAUCGAGAACAAUUACGAGCCCCCCAAAAAGAAGGAAGACAAGAAGGAAGAAGGCUCUAGCGUUAUAUAUGUGUACACCCACACCUACAACCAGUACUGGAAGUGAGUUAAAUAGUGUUUGUGUGUAAAAAUAGAUUUUCUCUUCCACCUCAAAUUCUUGAAUGUAGAAUUCAUGGGAGGUAAAGUAAUUUCGAAAGUUGAUGUCUCAAUCAAGGGCAUUAAUUUUUCUCGGUUCAGAGUUCAAAACCGAAUCUAAAACAUUGAUCCCACAGAAAGAAGAAAGAAAACACACCGGUGCAUUUGACUCUAAAGGAAUGUGGUUCGUUCUUAACCUUGAACUUUGAGGAGAUUAAUUCUCUUCCUAAGAGUUUGAAAAUGAACGUGCGUCAUCACACAUUAAAGAGUGGAACUCUGAAAAAAACCAUUUGUUUAUUCCUCUCAACAGGAGGAGACUUAAACGAAGUCACUUUUCAAUUGCAGGAUAAAAAUGAUGUUUUGACAAAGUGAGUUCAAAUAGAAGUUUACUAGAGCUGAGAGCCACUGUAUCAGACUCGUUUUGAAUUGUUUAGAAGAAUGUAUAAUGCUAUUCAAGCUUCAAAGUUUCGUAAAAUGGUCCAUGAAUGUACACUGACCUUUCAAUCUUACCAUGGAUUUAAGCGAUCAAUGUAAGCUUCUUUGGUCUCCCAGCUGGAAUGGAUUUGACAAAGUUGAUGGCUAGUCGCGAUUGUGGUCCUUCUGGGUAAAAGUUUAAGUCAAGGACGCUCCUUUGGUCUCCCAGCAUGGGUUUUGUCAGCGAUUUCAAAAAGCUGCAACUCAUCAAAUGACGUCAAAUGUGAGGCACGAGAAAGGGAAGCCCAUGUGAAAGUCCAGUGUACGCUCUGAAAACUUUCUAUACAAUGCAAGAGAGAAGCUUUGAAAUGGUCUUCGACUUUGGCAAUUUACCAGUGGCUAAACUGUAGAAUCCAGCUAUAAAAACCGCCACAAAGUUCGAACGUGAGCAGCAAGGCAUCUCGCAGCGUGUUCUUCGGAGUUGCAAAGUCUCAGCAAAGGUUCAAGAAAAAAUCUCGAUCCAUUUUUCCUCCUUUUGCGAGCAUGAAAAAGGUGACACUCUCAACUUGUGGGAGCUGCGAGGGAAAGACUGAUGCGCUUAAGAAGAUCAAAGGUAUGUACAAACUUGGAUUGGAAAUUUGAAAGCUGAUAUCGUUUCUUGUUUUUGAACAACAGGGGUUGAUAAGGUGCAAUGGGAGUCGUCAGACCUGGUAGUGAUCGGCAAAUUUGAUGUGGACGACGUGGUCAAGGCGAUGGAUUGCCACCAUAGCGUUCUUCGUUCCGUCGAGAACGAUUAUGAGCCCCCAAAGAAGGACAAGGAGAAGAAGGGCGGUGGUUCUAGUGUUGUAUAUGUUUACACCCACACCUACAAUCACUACAAUUGCAAUUGCUAAAACACUGCAUAGUUCUUCCACUUGCAAAGGAUGGAUGGAUCUGCAAGAACAAGGGAGGUGGCGUGUGUCUGGCGCAACUUCAGGAGCUUCUGAUCUAGACAUAGCACCAAGUUCUUAGGGUUUCUUAUUUCGCACGCAC
rnacentral:lncRNA from 1 species